ensembl:lncRNA
GCGAGUUAAAGUGGAUCAGAUCUUUGUUCCCAAUCGGCAAACAGCCCUCGGCAGCGCUGGGUUUGUCACAGGGACUUUUCCCUCAGCAGUGAGGUCUGCGCUGAGCUGAGCCCCAGAUACUUUCUGGAUUUAUCCUGAACGAGAAGUGGAAUUGUUGAGUUAAUGCCCAGGAAGCAGCCCUUCUCCCCAGUGCUACACCCUGCAGCCCAGGAGGCCUUCACACACACGGUAAGAAAGCCUCUCUUCUUUGUUUCCAAGCUGAGCUCUGAGUGCAAGCAUUUAGUAGCAUUUAAAUGAAUUCUAUGCAAAAGUUGUCUGUUUUUCAGCUUUCAGUCUGAAGUUGUGUGAAUUGUG